rnacentral:misc_RNA from 1 species
UUUCCGUAGGUGAACCUGCGGAAGGAUCAUUAACUAUAUAAGGCCACAGGGCAAGCUUUCCGAAAGGAUCGAGCUUGCUGUGUGAACCCUACCUACCCUUGCUUUUUGCGUACCCAUUGUUUCCUCGGCAGGCUUGCCUGCCAGUAGGACCCUCUUAAACCCUUUGUAAUUGCAGUCAGCGUCAGAAACAACGUAAUCGUUACAACUUUCAACAACGGAUCUCUUGUUUCUGGCAUCAAGGAGAACCCAACAGGAUCGAACGGGCACCCGCCUGCACUC